AGCGAACGCUGGCGGCAGGCUUAACACAUGCAAGUCGAGCGGGCGUAGCAAUACGUCAGCGGCAGACGGGUGAGUAACGCGUGGGAACAUACCUUUUGGUUCGGAACAACACAGGGAAACUUGUGCUAAUACCGGAUAAGCCCUUACGGGGAAAGAUUUAUCGCCGAAAGAUUGGCCCGCGUCUGAUUAGCUAGUUGGUGAGGUAACGGCUCACCAAGGCGACGAUCAGUAGCNGGUCUGAGAGGAUGAUCAGCCACAUUGGGACUGAGACACGGCCCAAACUCCUACGGGAGGCAGCAGUGGGGAAUAUUGGACAAUGGGCGCAAGCCUGAUCCAGCCAUGCCGCGUGAGUGAUGAAGGCCCUA
rnacentral:rRNA from 1 species